UAGCUCAGUCGGUUAGAGCAGAGGACUCAUAAUCCUUUGGUCCACGGUUCGAGUCC
rnacentral:tRNA from 1 species